AUGGAACCGCAGGAAGGAAGGAAAGGAAUACCAUCUCUGCUGUCCUCACAGGGGGAGUGCAUCGCCACCAACAUCACGCAGCUCAUUGGUUGGACACCACUGAUAGAACUGAGAAACAUCGCUGAGAAAGAUGGCAUAGGUGCUCGGCUGAUUGGGAAGAUUGAGCCAUACCAACCCCUUUCCUCUGUGAAGGACCGGAGUGCUCUCAGAUUGAUUGAAGAUGCAGAGGAGAAAGGCUUGAUCACACCUGGCAUCACAACGCUGCUGGGGGUCACGAGUGGUAAUCUCGGCAUCGGCGUGGCGUUCAUUGCUGCUCAGAAAGGAUACAAGUUCAUCGCCCUCAUGCCUGCUAAACUCUCGCUUGAUAAGCAGAUACUGAUGCGAUACCUUGGCGUAGAAGUGGUAUUAGUUGAUGCUGUACAGCAUGGAUUCAAAGCUUUACUUGAUAGGGUAGAACAGAUGAAGAAGGAUGUGGAAGAUGUGUAUGUUCUAGAUCAAUUCACCAAUCCUGCAAAUCCCGAUGCCCACUUCAGAUGGACAGAUGGCGAGCCAGCCUUCCACAACAUCCUAGGAAUAGGGCCAGGUUUUGUCCCAGAAAUACUGGAUAGAUCCCAGAUAGAUGAAAUUGUAACAGUAACUACUCAAGAAGCUAUGGACAUGGCUAGAAGGUUGGCAAGGGAAGAAGGGUUGCUUGUUGGCAUAUCUUCAGGCGCAAAUGCAGCCGCCUGCUUAAAGGUUGCAUCAAGAGAGGAGAACAGGGGAAAGAUGAUUGUGACAAUGUUUUCCAGUGGUGCAGAGAGGUAUCUGAAUUCAGAGCUCUUUGCGCAGGUGAAGGAAGAGUGCGUCAACAUCAACAUGACCUUCUGA
rnacentral:rRNA from 1 species